GUCCACGCCGUAAACGAUGAGUACUAGCUGUCGGAGGUUACCCCCUUCGGUGGCGCAGCUAACGCAUUAAGUACUCCGCCUGGGAAGUACGCUCGCAAGAGUGAAACUCAAAGGAAUUGACGGGGACCCCGCACAAGUAGCGGAGCAUGUGGUUUAAUUCGAAGCAACGCGAAGAACCUUACCUAAGCUUGACAUCCUUUUGACCGAUGCCUAAUCGCAUCUUUCCCUUCGGGGACAGAAGUGACAGGUGGUGCAUGGUUGUCGU
rnacentral:rRNA from 1 species